rnacentral:lncRNA from 1 species
AAAAGCAUGAACACCUUAUCAGGAAAGAAAGAAAGAGCCGAUUAGACUACCCAACCCACACGCAAAUUAUACACAACUAAACACACUCACAUUCACAUACCCACACGAUCGCUGGCCUCAUAUACAAUUAUGUCUUCUUUUCUUUUUGCUACUGUAUCUAUUGUGUCCUUUUUCUGCUUUAUUAAAAAAUAGAAAUCACAAGUCAAC